ensembl:lncRNA
UAUAAAUUGUAUACAUAUAUUGGAAUUGUAUGUUAAAUUAAUGACAUUGACACAUGCAAAGACAAUUUUUAUUUUGAAUUUGUGUGUCUCAUGUUUGUUAUAGGUUUGCCUCAGGCAAAGCUGACAAUAUUUCCAACAUUUGCUACUGAUGAAGAAAAGGUGCAGAUGGUCUGUGGAGGUCAUGAGAAUCAGCAUAUAUCUGAGUGCAUGUUUUACCCUGCAGGACAGGAGAACUUUUUAAAACCAAGUGCAUCGUGUAACUUUUCCCUUACUGGUGCCAACCUGAUCAUAUGGUCACAAGAUCAGGAGAGUUCACAUGUUAAUAUAUCCUGCUACUAUACUGUGCAUGCCUUAGGAGAAAAUGGAACAUCACCUCAUUCCAACAUAGUCUCAGUCAGGGUCAGAGGUUUGGCCACCAUGUCGUCUUUGCCACCAACCACAGAGGACAGCCCAACUACAAUGACCCCCAAUGGAGGAACCUUUCAAGUGAAUUUGUCCACUGUGUCAACAACGAAUACAACAACAUCUUUGGCUGUAACAUCCAGUACUGAAAUCAUAACAGAUUCAUUAACCAGUAAGUGCUUCAUUCCUUCUCAUGAUUUUUUUCUACUAAUCAAACAUUUUGAUUGGUUGGGUUUAAAUCAACUCAUCUAA